rnacentral:rRNA from 1 species
AUUGAACGCUGGCGGCAUGCCUUACACAUGCAAGUCGAACGGUAACAGGUUAAGCUGACGAGUGGCGAACGGGUGAGUAAUAUAUCGGAACGUGCCCAAUCGUGGGGGAUAACGCAGCGAAAGUUGUGCCAAUACCGCAUAAGAUCUACGGAUGAAAGCGGGGGAUCGCAAGACCUCGCGCGAGUGGAGCGGCCGAUAUCAGAUUAGCUAGUUGGUGGGGUAAAGGCCCACCAAGGCGACGAUCUGUAGCUGGUCUGAGAGGACGACCAGCCACACUGGGACUGAGACACGGCCCAGACUCCUACGGGAGGCAGCAGUGGGGAAUUUUGGACAAUGGGCGCAAGCCUGAUCCAGCAAUGCCGCGUGCAGGAUGAAGGCCUUCGGGUUGUAACUAGCUUUGUUACGGAGCGAAAAGGUACGUCUUCUAAUACUAAGGGGACGUCAUGACGGUACCGUAAGAAUAAGCACCGGCUAACUAACGUGCCA